rnacentral:rRNA from 1 species
AUGAGAUUUUACGAAGACAUCGUAGGCGCCUCGUAUUCGACGGGAACGUCUCCUCCCACUAAACGCGCAUCGCCGAAAAAUCCUGCAAUAAAUCCAGGGCACGACGGAGAGAUGUACCGGGUGAAGAGCGAGAGCGACUGCGAGAUGAUGCAUCAGGAGGACCAGAUGGACUCGCCGGUGGGCGACGACGGCAGCAGCGGAGGGUCGCCUCACAGGGGCGGCGGGCCGCCUCUGAAGAAAGGGCCCUGGACGUCGGCGGAGGACGCCAUCCUGGUGGACUACGUGAAGAAGCACGGCGAGGGGAACUGGAACGCGGUGCAGAAGAACACCGGGCUGUUCCGCUGCGGCAAGAGCUGCCGCCUCCGGUGGGCGAACCACCUCAGGCCCAACCUCAAGAAGGGGGCCUUCACCCCCGAGGAGGAGAGGCUCAUCAUCCAGCUCCACUCCAAGAUGGGCAACAAGUGGGCUCGGAUGGCCGCUCAUUUGCCAGGGCGUACUGACAAUGAAAUAAAGAAUUACUGGAACACUCGAAUAAAGAGAUGUCAGCGAGCUGGCUUGCCAAUAUAUCCUGCUAGCGUAUGCAACCAAUCUUCAAAUGAAGAUCAGCAGGGCUCCAGCGAUUUCAACUGCGGCGAAAAUCUUUCCAGUGACCUUCUGAAUGGAAAUGGUCUUUAUCUGCCAGAUUUUACCUGUGACAAUUUCAUUGCUAAUUCAGAGGCUUUAUCUUAUGCACCACAGCUUUCAGCUGUUUCAAUAAGCAGUUUACUUGGCCAGAGUUUUGCAUCCAAAAACUGUGGCUUCAUGGGUCAAGUAAACCAAGCAGGGAUGCUAAAACAGCCUGACCCUUUACUCCCUGGAUUGAGCGACACCAUCAAUGGCGCUCUCUCCUCGGUCGAUCAGUUCUCAAAUGACUCUGAGAAUCUCAAGAAGGCUCUGGGUUUUGACUAUCUCCACGAAGCCAACUCUAGCAGCAAGAUUAUUGCACCAUUUGGGGGUGCACUUACUGGCAGCCAUGCCUUUUUAAAUGGCACCUUCUCUACUUCUAGGACCAUCAAUGGUCCUUUGAAGAUGGAGCUCCCUUCACUCCAAGAUACCGAAUCUGAUCCGAAUAGCUGGCUCAAGUAUACCGUGGCUCCUGCGAUGCAGCCUACGGAGUUGGUUGAUCCCUACCUGCAGUCUCCGACAGCAACUCCGUCAGUGAAAUCGGAGUGUGUGUCGCCAAGGAACAGCGGUCUCUUGGAAGAGCUGCUUCAUGAAGCUCAGGGACUAAGAUCUGGGAAGAAUCAGCAGCUUUCCGUGAGGAGUUCAAGUUCCUCUGUCAGUACGCCGUGUGAUACUACGGUGGUUAGCCCAGAGUUUGAUCUCUGUCAGGACUAUUGGGAUGAACCUCUGAAUGAAUAUGCUCCUUUCAGUGGCAAUUCACUCACUGGAUCCACGGCUCCUGUUAGCGCUGCGUCGCCUGAUGGUUUUCAGCUCUCCAAAAUUUCUCCUGCACAAAGCCCUUCGCUGGGAUCUGGAGAGCAGGCAAUGGAGCCUGCAUACGAGCCUGGGGCUGGGGACACUUCGUCUCAUCCUGAAAACUUCAGGCCAGACGCACUCUUCUCCGGGAACACAACUGACUCUUCCGUCUUCAACAACGCCAUAGCCAUGCUCCUGAGCAACGACAUGAACACGGACUGCAAGCCUGUUUUCGGCGACGGUAUCGUGUUUGAUACUUCCUCGUGGAGCAACAUGCCACAUGCUUGCCAAAUGUCGGAGGAAUUCAAAUGA